GGCGUUAGUUAUUUUUAGUCUGCUUGGGUCACUCCCGUGUUCAACCAGGAUUGAAAUCACUGUGCUGCCUAAUAACUUCAGGAGGAAGGAAACCGCAGGAGACGUUAACACGGUAAUUUACAUUUGUUUGGAGGAGAAGAUUCACUCAGAGGUGCGAUUCUAUGGAGGCGACCAACUCUUGCGAAGACGGACUUCACAGAAGGAGCAGGGAGGUUCCGUUUUGGAGUUUGCACAUUAUUCCGACCCCCCUGGAUGUCACGCCAGGAUCCGGCUGCACCGUAUGUUGCAAGACCUCAGCCACCGCCGCGGAGGAACUGGCCGGGAAGCGUCAGGUGUACCGGGUGAAGGGGGUGAUGGGAAAUUCACUGGGAUGGUCUGGGAAGAGGAGAGGGCAGCUUGGAUCUGGGCCGGGGUUGAGGGAGGCUGGGGUGACCGGCUGUGGGCGGGAGGGACAGGAAGCAGCCCAGGGCGGCGCGGAGAUUCCACCUGGAGCAGGUGACGCUUCAUUCACUACAAUGACAAGAAAG
rnacentral:lncRNA from 1 species